rnacentral:rRNA from 1 species
UACGGGGGGAGCAAGCGUUGUUCGGAUUUACUGGGCGUAAAGGGCGCGUAGGCGGUCGUGACAAGUCACUUGUGAAAUCUCCGGGCUUAACUCGGAACGGUCAAGUGAUACUGUCGGACUAGAGUGCAGAAGGGGCAACUGGAAUUCUCGGUGUAGCGGUGAAAUGCGUAGAUAUCGAGAGGAACACCUGCGGCGAAGGCGGGUUGCUGGGCUGACACUGACGCUGAGGCGCGAAAGCGUGGGGAGCAAACAGG